rfam:Treaplasma diversum strain ATCC 49782 genome.
AUGCAGCUUCAACCACUCAAAACAGGUUUUUUAAAAUGCAAUUUGCAUACCUUAUUGGUGAGUCUAAGUUGAUAA